CCUACGGGUGGCAGCAGUGGGGAAUAUUGGGCAAUGGGCGCAAGCCUGACCCAGCAACGCCGCGUGAAGGAAGAAGGCUUUCGGGUUGUAAACUUCUUUUGACAGGGAGGAGUAGAAGACGGUACCUGUCGCAUCACUCGCGGCUAACUACGUGCCAGCAGCCGCGGUAAUACGUAGGUGGCAGGCGUUUUCCGGCUUUAGUGGGUGUAAAGGGCGCGUAGCCGGGGUGCUAAGUCAGAGGUGAACUCCUGGGGUGUAACCCCGGAACUGCAUCUGAAACUGAUUAGCUGGAGAAUCGUAGAGGUAGACAGAAUGUCUGGUGUAGCGGUGAAAUGCGUAGAGAUCUGGAGGAACACCGGUGGCGAAGGCGGCCUGCUGGACAAAGACUGACGGUGAGGCGCGAAAGCGUGGGGAGCAAACAGGAUUAGAUACCCUGGUAGUC
rnacentral:rRNA from 1 species